UACGGAGGAGGCAAGCGUUAUCCGGAAUUAUUGGGCGUAAAGCGUCCGUAGGUGGUUGACCAAGUCUGCUGUCAAAGGGUGGGGCUUAACCUCAUAAAGGCAGUGGAAACUGGUGAGCUAGAGUGCGGUAGGGGUAAGGGGAAUUCCCAGUGUAGCGGUGAAAUGCGUAGAGAUUGGGAAGAACAUCGGUGGCGAAAGCGGCUUGCUGGGCCUGCACUGACACUGAGAGACGACAGCUUGGGGAGCGAACGGG
rnacentral:rRNA from 1 species